rfam:Solanum lycopersicum cultivar Heinz 1706 chromosome 7, whole genome shotgun sequence.
AGUCCGAUGCCACGUCGACGGUAGCAAAAUGCGAUGACCGAAGAUGCUAUGAUUGGACGAACAUCUAGUUUUAAUUAACGUUUCGCAUUCUGAUAGGAAUCUGUGUAUGGAUUCAUUUUCAAUUCCUUCACGGAGCCGUUUCGUGCGAUUACAUCU